GUGGAUGCUCUAAGUGGCACCCACUCCGCCUGUGCUGGGGACAGCAGAAGGGGCCCUCCAAGCCAGACUCGGCUCUCGUGAACCCUUCACGACUGGGGCCUCCCCGCUAAAACAGCCUCAUUCCCACUUAACAGCUUUGGCUCAUGCUGUUGUCUUGGCUAUAAUGCUUCCCUCCACUUAAUAAAUCCUGCCCAUAUAUUCAGGCCCAGUUUAAGCCCCACCACUCCUUGAUCUCUGGACUCCUCCUCCAAAUGACAGCAUGGUCUGUUUUCCAGAUACAAUUCAGAGCUGGAUUCGGUGUUUGUUUUUCCAGUUAUUUUUGCUUCCUCUAGGAAACUUCUUUGAAAAUGAGACUCUCCUUCCCUAGCAGGGGCUGGGUGCAGAUAGGUGUUCAUUUAACGUGGAUUGAUUGGAUUAAGGGCUUGGGGAUGGAAGGGAGGCUUUUUUUUUUCUUUUUUGCCUUUUUCAAAAUUAUGAAAUACAAAAUGCAGUCAGACAAGUACAUGAAACGGCAAUGUCUGGCUUAAUGAAUAUUACGAGGCAAAUAUCCUGUAACCACCAUCCAGAUCAAGAGAACAUUACCAGCAUCCCAGAAGCCUCUCCAUAUGACCUUUGGGAAGCAGACAUUUCCAAACUGGUGAUUGUAUAUCUGUGGGCGUGGGAAAGGUCUUUAUUUCAUUUUUAGAAAUGGGUCUCACCAUUUUGCUGAGGCCGAUAUCAAAUUCUUGGGCUCAAGCAAUCCUCCCACCUUGGCCUCCCAAAGUGCUGGGAUUAUGGCCAUGGGCUACCAUGCCUGGCCUGGGAAGGAUCUUUAGAGGAAGUGUGAGCUGGGAAAUCUCUUCUUGGGCCCUUGCCCACAUGAGCUUGUGAGUAUCUUGGGGAAGUACCAAAUCCACAGCACCAUGAGAGGGAGGAGGCAGCCGCAGGGAGUUCUUGGUGGGCAAAAUAUGUCUGUCAACCUGGAGCCCUGCCCAGACCCUGAAGCAACUGUUCUUCAUUCCAGCUGGGAUUUGUAAGCAAAUAUGAGGUCAGAUGUGUCUGGGUGUGUGCUUCCUACCCCUAGCCAAAAGGGAAGCAGGACCAAACGUGGGCCUCCAGACACUUAGAGAUUGCAGACUGAGGAAGGAGGAGAAGGGGCUUUCCAGAGCUUGGAGCACAGGGCAACUUACAGGGCCCAGGAAGUGGCCAGGAAUGAUGGUGUGCGCCUGUGGUCCUAGCUACGUGGGAGGCUGAAGUGGGAGGAUUGCUUGAGAGGUCGAGGUUGCAGUGAACCAAGACCGUGCCAUUGCACUCCAGCCUGGGCGACAGACGGAGACUCUGUCUCCAAAAAAAAAAAAAGGAUAAUGGCAGAACGUGCAGGUUUGUUACACAGGUAUACGUGUGUCAUAGUGGUUUGCUGCACUUAUUGACCCAUCCUGUAAGUUUCCUCCCCUAACCCCCACCCCCCAAAAAGCCCUGGUGUG
rnacentral:lncRNA from 1 species